UGCUACCUGCAGUCGCACGGGCAGGGCAACCUGUCAGUGGCGGACGGGUGAGUAACGCGUAGGGAUCUAUCUCCGGGUGGGGGAUAACGGUUGGAAACGACUGCUAAUACCGCAUGACACCUGAGGGUCAAAGGCGCAAGUCGCCUGGAGAGGAGCCUGCGUACGAUUAGCUAGUUGGUGGGGUAAAGGCCUACCAAGGCGACGAUCGUUAGCUGGUCUGAGAGGAUGAUCAGCCACAUUGGGACUGAGACACGGCCCAAACUCCUACGGGAGGCAGCAGUGGGGAAUAUUGGACAAUGGGCGCAAGCCUGAUCCAGCAAUGCCGCGUGUGUGAAGAAGGUCUUCGGAUUGUAAAGCACUUUCGACGGGGACGAUGAUGACGGUACCCGUAGAAGAAGCCCCGGCUAACUUCGUGCCAGCAGCCGCGGUAAUACGAAGGGGGCUAGCGUUGCUCGGAAUGACUGGGCGUAAAGGGCGCGUAGGCGGAUGGCACAGUCAGAUGUGAAAUUCCCGGGCUUAACCUGGGGGCUGCAUUUGAUACGUGUGAUCUAGAGUGAGGAAGAGGGUUGUGGAAUUCCCAGUGUAGAGGUGAAAUUCGUAGAUAUUGGGAAGAACACCGGUGGCGAAGGCGGCAACCUGGUCCUUGACUGACGCUGAGGCGCGAAAGCGUGGGGAGCAAACAGGAUUAGAUACCCUGGUAGUCCACGCUGUAAACGAUGUGUGCUGGAUGUUGGGCGACCUAGUCGCUCAGUGUCGUAGCUAACGCGAUAAGCACACCGCCUGGGGAGUACGGCCGCAAGGUUUGAAACUCAAAAGGAAUUGACGGGGGGCCCGCACAACCGGUGGAGCAU
rnacentral:rRNA from 1 species